rnacentral:rRNA from 1 species
AUGCUUAACACAUGCAAGUCGAACGGAAACGAAACUAGCUUGCUAGUAGGCGUCGAGUGGCGGACGGGUGAGUAACGCGUAGGAAUCUGCCUGAUAGUGGGGGAUAGCCCGAAGAAAUUCGGAUUAAUACCGCAUAAUCUAUUCGUAGUAAAGUGGGGGACUUUCGAGCCUCACGCUAUCAGAUGAGCCUGCGUAAGAUUAGCUUGUUGGUAGGGUAAAAGCCUACCAAGGCAACGAUCUUUAGCUGGUCUGAGAGGAUGAUCAGCCACAUCGGGACUGAGACACGGCCCGAACUCCUACGGGAGGCAGCAGUGGGGAAUAUUGGACAAUGGGGGCAACCCUGAUCCAGCAAUACCGCGUGUGUGAAGACGGCCCGAGGGUUGUAAAGCACUUUCAAUUGUGAAGAAAAGUUAACGGUUAAUAACCGUUGGCCUUGACGUUAACUUUAGAAGAAGCACCGGCUAACUCCGUGCCAGCAGCCGCGGUAAUACGGAGGGUGCAAGCGUUAAUCGGAAUUACUGGGCGUAAAGCGUGCGUAGGCGGUUUAUUAAGUCAGAUGUGAAAGCCCCGGGCUUAACCUGGGAACUGCAUUUGAAACUGGUCAACUAGAGUAUGGUAGAGGAAAGUGGAAUUUCUGGUGUAGCGGUGAAAUGCGUAGAUAUCGGAAGGAACACCAGUGG